rnacentral:rRNA from 1 species
GAUGAACGCUAGCGGCAGGCUUAAUACAUGCAAGUCGUGGGGCAGCAGGGGCGUAGCAAUACGCUCGCUGGCGACCGGCAAACGGGUGCGGAACACGUACACAACCUUCCUUUAAGUGGGGAAUAGCCCGGGGAAACCCGGAUUAAUACCCCGUAACAUAAUGAAGUGGCAUCGCUUUAUUAUUAUAGCUCCGGCGCUUGAAGAUGGGUGUGCGACUGAUUAGGCAGUUGGCGGGGUAACGGCCCACCAAACCUACGAUCAGUAACUGGUGUGAGAGCACGACCAGUCACACGGGCACUGGGACACGGGCCCGACUCCUACGGGAGGCAGCAGUAAGGAAUAUUGGUCAAUGGACGCAAGUCUGAACCAGCCAUGCCGCGUGGAGGAUGAAGGUCCUCUGGAUUGUAAACUUCUUUUAUCUGGGAAGAAAUCCAUGAAUUCUUUUGUGGUUGACGGUACCAGAUGAAUAAGCACCGGCUAACUCCGUGCCAGCAGCCGCCGUAA